rnacentral:rRNA from 1 species
ACGACUCUCAGCAACGAAUAUCUUGGCUCUUGCAACGAUGAAGAACGCAACGAAAUGCGAUACGUAGUGUGAAUUGCAGGAUUCCGUGAAUCAUCGAGUCUUUGAACGCAAGUUGCGCCCGCGGCUCGUCCAAGGGUAUGCCUUCCUGAGCGUCCCC